GAUUAUCCAGUUCACAAGCUCGCUUGCUAUGUUUCUGAUGAUGCCUGCUCACCUCUCAAUUUCUACUCUCUUGUUGAAGCUUCUAAAUUUGCUAAGCUUUGGGUUCCAUUCUGUAAAAAGUAUAAUGUUCAAAUUAGAUCUCCCUUUAGAUACUUCCCAGAUAGUGAGCCGUCCGAUUCCAGUUCAGGGGAACUCCUGCAAGACUGGAAAAACAUGAAGGUAAAGAUAUGUUAAAGUUACAUGUAUCUGUUCUAUACAUAAAAUAAAAAUCAUAUUUACACAACGUUUUAGAGCAGCGACAGAAACGACAAUAAAACUAUAUGGUAUUAACGUAUUUUUUAUUUUUUAUUAACAGUAAUUCCACAUGAUUUGAUCGUGUUUCUUUUUAUUAGUUUUUAAAUUUAAGAUAACUGCAUAUAGUUUUAAUCAUUGAUUAAUUAAGUGUUUAAAUCGAUUCUAUUUGUUUGAUCUUAUGUAGAAAGAGUAUGAGAAACUCUGCCAAAACAUAGAACAUGCAGCCAAAAGAUCUUCUUUAUUUGAUCUAACAGGAGAAAUGACUGUUUUCUCCAAUACAGAACGCAUGAAUCAUCCAACAAUAGUCAAGGUAACCGAUUGAUUUGUUUAUACAUUUAAUUGAAAAUUAGUGAGGAAUGUUUUCUUAAAACAUAUUUUUUUUAAAGUAAACGUACCUUUUUUUUCAGGGCGGGUAAAAGUAGUUUACUUUUUUCUUUGAGAAUAAUCAUUAAUCAUUCAAUUUAAUUGUAGGUUAUAUCGGAGAACAGAGGAGGUCUCUCAGAUGAGAUACCACAUUUAGUUUACAUAUCAAGAGAGAAAAGGCCAAAGCAUCCCCAUCACUACAAAGCAGGGGCCAUGAAUGUAUUGGUAAGUUGCUUUUUGGUGCCUUCAAAAUAGUUGUUCUUUUGUGCCAAAUAUGACAAGAAGAGUAUUUUUCACAUUAUUAAGAUCAAACGGUGAGAUUGCUUACAUUAUUGUAAUUGAUAGACUAUACUAACAUUUUUUUUUUAAUUCUAAUUUCAUACAAUAAUUAAAUAGACUAGGGUGUCUGGGCUGAUGACAAAUGCGCCGUUCAUGCUUAAUGUAGACUGCGACAUGUAUGCCAACAAUCCAGAGAUUGUUCUUCAAGCUAUGUGUUUGCAUCUGGGCUCCAAGAACGAAAACGAAUUUGCGUUUAUUCAAUCUCCACAAUAUUUCUAUGACAGACCAGAAAAUCUGUGCAUUUUAAAUGAGGUGAGCCAUAUCUAUAUAUGCUAGCUCAAUAAUUCUUAUAACUUAAAAUUAACUAUGAAUUUCCUUGUUCAAUGAUAUGCCUAGCUAACCGGGUGAUGCUGAUUAACUAAUAUGUUUUGCUUUUGUUAGUAUAUCGGGAAAGGAAUUGUGGGAAUUCAAGGACCUUUCUAUCAGGGUACAGGAGCUUUUCAUAGACGAGAUGUUGUAUAUGGUCUAUGCCUCGAUCAGAUUGAACAUCAAGGUGAACACGCAUGUGUUAAAUGUUAAACAAAAUAUGUUCUUCUAUGACUAUGCUAAAUAAAUGUUUUGUCCGUAAUCUUGCAGGAAAUAUAGUGGAAGAUGAGCUGCUGAAAAAAUUCGGAAAUUCAAAAGAAUUCAUCAAAUCAGCUGCUCAGACUUUGGAAGGGAAGACAGGAGGUUAUUCAAGCAACAUAUCGAGAUCGCUUGAUGAAGCACACCGAGUUGCAGAUUGUGGUUAUGAGUAUGGUAGUAGCUGGGGUGAUGAGGUUAGUAUAAAGAAUAAAAUUUGCAAAAUUUUGUUAAACUUGUUUUUUAGUCAAAACCUGUACGUUCACCACAUAUAUUGUGGCCGUACGUAUAUUUGUGAUUUCAGGUGGGGUGCUUGUAUGGCGCCACAGCAGAAGAUAACUUAACUGGCUUGGUGAUCCAUUCAAAAGGCUGGAGAUCAGGCUACUGCUUGCCGAUCCCACAUGCCUUUCUUGGCUGUGCGUCGCCCAGCGGCCCUGCUGGGAUGAGACAACAGAAAAGGUGGGCCACGGGACUGCUUGAAAUCCUAUUCAGCAAACGUAACCCCAUAUUGGCUACUCUCAUCGCGAAGCUCCAAUUUCGACAAUGUUUGGCUUAUUUGUGGAUCCUUACUUGGGGCUUGCGCUCAAUUCCCGAGCUGUGCUACAUUGCCCUUCCAGCUUAUUGCAUCAUCACCAACUCCACUUUCCUGCCAAAGGUCAUACAAAUUCUUCUUGUUCUUUCCUAGUUAUAAUUGCCGCUCAAUAAUUAUUCAUCACUUGUCAUCACACGCAUGUCCUUAAUGUCAUUUAAAUGCCUUGCCUUUUUGUUCAUGGCAAAUGAUUAACCAAAAAAAUGAAAUGGCGACCAGUACAAUUCUCGGGUGUAUAUAUAACAACUGAAACCUAUCUUUUUUUUUUUCCAAAAUAAAAAGUAGAAGGAUGAGUAAAACCCAAAUUAAUUUUUUAAUUCCUACCUUCCCGAGAAUUGAUCUUGAGUAGAUAGUAACAGAAAACUAUUUGAGAAACCACUUGAGUGCCAAGUCAAAUCAACAUGUUAAUCAAACGACUUAUUACUUUUUGAACCGCUGAAAAUGUCAAUUGUACACGCAGGUCCAGGAACCAACCGUAUUGAUCCCUCUUGCACUUUUUGUGAUCUACAAAUCAUAUACUCUAUUAGAGUACAUUCAAGCUGGUUUAUCAAUCCGUUCAUGGUGGGUUAACAAUUGUAUGGCCCGAAUUGUCACAACAAGUGCAUGGUUAUUUGGUCUUGUAAACGCCGCGCUCAAGCAGUUUGGAUUCUCCGAGGCAGUUUUUGAAAUUACGCAAAAAAUUCAUCGAUCCAGCGAUGUCGAUGAAGUGAUGUUCGACGAUUCCCCUUUCUUUGUUCCCGGCACGACAAUUAUUCUGGUGCACCUCGCUGCAUGGGCUACCGGCUUGCUAAGGUUGCAAUCACAAGGUGCGCAUGGCUCAGGGCUAGGAGACUACUUUUGCAGUCUGUAUGUGGUGCUAUGCUUCUUUCCUUUUUUGCGAGGGCUGUUCAUGACAGGGAAAAAGGGGAUCCCGUGGUCAACCAUUUGCAAAUCAACUGCUUUAGCUCUGCUUUUUGUGCAAUGGUGUAAGAUGAUGAGCUCUGUGAACUGAGAUUUUUAUUUUAAGCGUGACAAAAUGAAUUAGUUUAGGAAGUAUCAAAUAUUUUCCAUUAAUUUGUGCUAUGAACUUAUCCAUAUGCCAAAUCCAAAUUCUUAGAGCAAAAUAGAAAUCCAUGAGUCAAGCAAAUUCAUCUCUCUAGACCACUCAAUAUAUGUUGUGCGCGGAAUGCGGAAUCAAGCGCACCAAAUAAUUAUAAAAAAAUAAAAGACACAAAUUUUACGUGGUUCGGUAAUUAAACCUACAUCCACGGAGGCAAGAAAGAAUAAUUGUUUAUUUAACAAUUAAUAAAGUAUAAAUAUUUGAGUAACGAAUCUCACUUCUCAGAAACCCAAAUAUACCCAGUACUCUCACACUCUGCAGGAAAGAUAAAUUCCUCAAACACACUUCUCUCACUUCUCUCAAAAGUUUAGAAACUUAUAAGCUUAAUAAUUUUGGGAUAAUUUCAAAUGAAUGAAAUCCUUAGCUAUUUAUAGGAGAAAUGAAUUACUAUGCAAAGAAUAAAAUAAUUAAAAAUAUAAUUUUUAACUAUUAUUAUUUUUCAAAUUCAUCCCCUUUAUCAAUUCUUUCUUUUCGGCUACAAAAUCAAUUUUGAUUUUGCUUCUCUACAAUUGUUGGUGCAUCCAACAAUUUGUUGACUUCAACAAAUCUCUACCUCAGCGAAAAUUUUUCAAAUCUGAGUCGACUACCAACGAGCUAUCAUCCCCAAAGUGGCUGCAUUUCUAUGAUUGCCUACGUACCCAAAAUUUAGGAUUAAGCCAACCGUAUUUCAAAUUCCCGAAGGACAUAUCUUAACACAAGCGAAGGAUUUGAAUUAGUUUCAAGCAAUGUUGAAACUUAACUUCAGAAACUACAUUCGUCAACAUAUCCGAUGGAUUAUCUUUGGUAUCGAUCUUUCUCAACAACACAACACCGCUCUUGAUAAUCUCUCUCACAUAAUGAUAUUUCACAUCUAUGUGUUUUGUCCGAGCGUGAUAUGUUUGAUUAUUCGCAAGGAAUAUCACACUUUGAUUAUCACAGAAGACCGCAAUUUUCUCUUGGAUUACUCCCAAAUCACCUAACAAGCCUUUCAACCAGAUAACUUCUUUUACAGCUUCAGUUGUUGCCAUAUACUCUGCUUCCGUAGUGGACAGAGCAAUUGUCGAUUGCAAAAUCGACCUCCAGCUAACCGGACCUCCACCCAAUGGGAAUACAUAGUCCGUUGUUGAUCUUCGCUUGUCAAGGUCUCCAGCGAAAUCAGAAUCACAAUACCCAACACAUUGUUGACCACAAUACUUCUUGAACAAUAUCCCAACAUCAACUGUUCCAUACAGAUAUCGGAGAAUCCACUUUACCGCAAGCCAUUGAUUUUUACCCGAAUUGUGCAUGUAUCACUAACCAUGCUCACUGCUUGAGAUAUAUCGGGCCUUGUGCAUACCAUAGCAUACAUAAGACUACCCACAACACUAACAUAUGAAGCACGAGCCAUGUAAUCACGCUCCUCUUGAGAUCUAGGACAUGAAGAAGAGCUUAAUUUGAAAUGAGGAGCUAGAGGUGCACAUACCGGUUUUGUUUUGUCAUCCAUACGCUCCCAUUCUUCUUGUCUCUAUGAAUCUCCAUCCCAAGUAUUCUCUGUACAUCACCCAUGUCUUUCAUCUCGAACUCAGAAGCCAGCUGCUUAUUUAAUCUUUCGAUCUCAUUUCUAUUCUUCGAAACUAUAAGCAUAUCAUCGACAUAGAGUAACAAAUAAAUGAAAGCUCCAUCUAGUAGUCUUCUAAAGUAAAUACAAUGAUCGUGUUCACUUCUGGUGAAUUUCUGCCCUUGUAUAAAUUGAUCAAAUCUUUUGUACCAUUGCCUUGGCGACUGCUUCAGUCCGUACAAAGAUUUAAUCAACCUACACACAUGAUUCUCCUUUCCAGCAACUUUGAAACCACAAGGCUGAAUCAUAUAGAUUUCUUCAUUCAAAUCUCCAUGUAAGAACGCCGUCUUAACAUCCAAUUGAGCCAACUUUAACUCAUAUUCUGCAACUAAGGCAAGUAGGAUACAAAUGGUAGUAUGUUUUACAACUGGAGAGAAAACUUCAUUGUAGUCAAUACCUUCCUUUUGAGCAAAACCUUUUGCCACGAGCCUUGCCUUGUAUCGAGGAGUUGUUUGAUUCGGAGAUCCUUGCUUUUUGGUGUAGACCCAUUUAUUGCCAAUAGCCCUUUUCUCCUUUGAUAACUUUACAAGUUCCCAAGUCUGAUUUUGAUGGAGAGAUUUUAUCUAUUCCUCUAUGGCUAACUUCCACUGAUCACUUUCACUGCUGCGUAAUGCUUCACCGAAAGUGUUAUGGAUGUUAUUAUCAAUAACUGGAAGUGCAUAGGCUACCACCAUAUCUUUAAUAAGCCAUCCGAGUUUCUUUAUCUCUCUUCUUGGCCUCCUUGUUUCUAUAAAAUCAUAAUUAUCUACAUCAUCAAUUGUUUCUUCAUUUUGUGGGACAUCAGAAGAAACAACCUCUUCUUCAACUCUAGGUGUCACUUCCAUAGUUGAACCAUUCUUUAAUGUAGAACUAACUAGUACAUAUGGAGUUGCAUCAAACUCCACCUGCUGCAAUACCUCUUUGGUCUUGUUCUCCACCUGCUGAGAGCUUGAAGUUUUCAUCAUUGAAACUUCAUCAAAUGUGACAUCUCUGCUACACACAAAUUUUUUGUCUUCGAGAUCCCAAAGCUUGAAGCCCUUUACUCCACCUUUGAAUCCCAUAAAGAUAGCUUUUCUAGCACGAGGAUCCAGUUUACCAUCUUUGACAUGAUAAUAAGCUGGACACCCAAAUAUAUGAAGGGAAUCAUAGUCUUGUGCAUGCUUUCCAGACCACAUUUCCAUAGGAGUUUUACCUCCAAUUGCAGCAAAAGGCAACCGGUUUACCAAGUGACUUGCGUAGCUCACAGUUUUAGCCCAAAUUUUUUUAUCUAAACCAGCAUUAGAUAACAUACACCGUACCUUCUCCAGUAAAGUACGAUUCAUACGCUUAGCCACACCGUUCUGUUGCGGAGUAUGUCUCACCGUGAAAUGUCUUUUAAUACCUUCGUUCUGGCAUACUUGCAAGAAUGGAUCAGAAGUAUAUUCACCCCCAUUAUUAGAUCGUAAUACUUUAAUCUUUCUACCAGUUUGAGUCUCCACCAAUUUCUUCCAUUUCACGAAAAUCUCUAGAACUUCAUCCUUUACUCGCAUAGUGUAUACCCACACACGUCUAGAGAAAUCAUCAACAAAUGUAAUAAAAUAAUGGCUUCCACCAAUUGAUGCAGUCUUGGUUGGUCCCCAUACAUCAAUGUGAACAUAUUCAAGGAUCUCACGAGUAUCGUGAUUAGCUGUACCAAACUUGACCUUUAUUUUCUUGCCUACUACAGAAUGCUCACAGAAAUUUAAUUUAUAGGUUUUGGUACAUUUUAAGAGUUCGUGCCUCAUCAGAGUUUGUAAAGACUUCUCGCCAGCAUGUCCCAGUCGUACAUGCCAUAGCUUGGUGGUGUCAUUGUGUGCCUCAACAACAUUUGCUUCAUCAGUUAUACCUCCCUUCAAAUAGUACAGAUUGUGACGCCGAACCCCUUGCAGAAUCACCAUAGCCCCAUGUGUAAACUUCAUUAUACCAUCUUCAAUGGUAACCUUGUAGCCUUUAGCUUCCAAAGCACCCACAUAAAUUAGAUUUUUUUUUAAAGAUGGAACAAAUGUAACAUCUUUGAGUUCUCUGACCAUUCCAUCAAACAUUUUGAGCCGAAUUGUUCCUAUCCCCAUUGUGCGACAAGGUUGAUCAUUCCCUAUCACAACUGCACCGGAUUCCAGAUUACGAAAAUCCGUAAACCAUUCCUUAAUAGGACACAAAUGAUAGGUUGCUCCAGUAUCAAGUAUCCACUCGCUCGAACUAGCCACGUAUGCUGCAAGAGUAAUACUUAGUGAAUAAUCAGAGUCUUCAUCUUUCCGUGCCAUGUUUGCUGCUGCUUGUUUCUUCCCAUCUCUUUUUUGAGCCUUUGGACAAUCUUUCCUCCAAUAGCCAUUUUCAUGACAAAAGGCACACUUGUCUCGAGCUAUAUUUCUACUUCUCGAUUUGGAUCGAGAAUUCUUUCUACUACGCUUCUUCUAUUUCUCCAUCGCCCAAUCUCUGCUCACCAAAGCUUCAGACGAUGCUCGUUCAGAAUUUUUAUUAUUAUUCCGAAUCUCCAAGUUAGUCAAUGUUGUGCAAACAUAUUUGAAAAUGAUCACGCUUUUCCAUAUAUCAAGGUAGUCGCAAAAUGACUAUAUUCCUCUGGUAGUGAGUGUAACAGAAUCAUAGCCUUGACUUCAUCCUUAAUUUCUUCAUCAAGAUUCUUCAAAUCAGCAAGUAACUUUUCAAAUCUUGAGACAUGAUCGUGCAUUGACACCCCAGACUUCAUUCGAAAGCCAUAUACUUGACUCAUUGCAUGAAGGCGAUUUUUAGGACUUUUUAGCAAGUACUUUUCCUCCAAUGUACGCCACAAAGUCAUUGCACACUCCUCAUCCUUCACAAAGUAUUUAACCUCCUUGGUCAAACAAGAUCUGAUCUGACCACAUGCUUUUUCAUUCAUACAAUCCCAAAUUUCUUCAUCAUACAAGUGUCUUUUAUUUUUCAGAACAACAUCGAGAUCGAUUUGAAUAAGGGCAUCCAUAACUUCGCGCCUCCACAUGCCGAAGUUGAUUUUCCCAUCAAACUUUUCAACAUCGAUCUUCUGGCCUCCUAUAACAGGUGCUAAAUAGCGAUUUGACAAAUCUCGCCUCCCACUUAAAGUGUCUCCUAAAAUAGUCUCCGUAGAUCUCUCCCCAAUUCUGGAAGUUUCACCUUCUACCAUUUUCUCAACGAACUAUUUCCACUUGAAAAACAAUCUCUAUGAUGUUAAUUUUGCAUGAAUAAAUGCACCAGAAAAGUUCCCAGGAGACUGGAUGGGAACUCGGUCCCAAUUAAAAACCAGAAUCUUUAGACUCUUAUCGCCUUUGUUGACAGAACUUUCCUAGACAUGCAAAAAUACACACUACUUGCAAUAGACUGUCUCCCAAGUACAAAUGGCCGUCUCCACCGUAUUUGUGAACAGUACCGUAUACGGGAAUAGUAUUGUAUACGUGAACAGUACCGUAUCCCCCCAAGUACGAACCGUCGGCUCUGAUACCACUUGUUGUAAUGCGGAAUCAGGCGCACCAAAUAAUUAUAGAAAAAUAAAGGACACAAAUUUUACGUGGUUCGAUAAUUAAACCUACAUCCACGGAGGAAAGAAAGAAUAAUUGUUUAUUUAACAAUUAAUAGAGUACAAAUAUUUGAGUAACGAAUCUCACUUCCCAGAAACCCAAAUAUACCCAGUACUCUCACACUCUGCAGGAAAGAUAAAUUCCCCAGACACACUUCUCUCACUUCUCUCAAAAGCUUAGAAACUUAUAAGCUUAACAAUUUUGAGAUAAUUUCAAAUGAAUAAAAUCCUUAGCUAUUUAUAGGAGAAAUGAAUUACUAUGCAAAGAAUAAAAUAAUUAAAAAUAUAAUUUUUAACUAUUAUUAUUUUUCAAAUUCAUCCCCUUUGUCAAUUCUUUCUUUUCGGCUACAAAAUCAAUUUUGAUUUUGCUUCUCUACAAUUGUUGGUGCAACCAACAAUUUGUUGACUUCAACAAUAUAUACAACUACAAGUGCUGAAAAGCUCUCUAGUAACUUCGUAAAGACAACUUAAUUUCUUUCUUAAGCUACCAAUCCAAUUUCAAUCCUCGUGGUAGAAAUGAAUGGAGAUGAGAGAAAGUAGAAAAAGAGAAGAAAGGAGCAGAAAUGACAGAAAAUGAUAGGAGAAUUCAAUUUACAUUACUUGGUUUAAUAUGAAAUUCCAGACAAAAAAGAAAUUAUUAAAUUUUUUAUCUGAAUACAUUUAAUUAAUUUUAAACUUCUAAUAUUUUUUAUCAAUUUCAAUAUUUGACUAUAUAAAUUUGUUUUAGUUUAUUUUUAAAUAAAUCAUCGUUUAACACAAAAUAAAUUAUUAAUAAUUUUGUAUUUCUUUAUUACGAAAUUUUCAUUUAAAAUAAAUUAGUAAAAGUACAUGCCGAAGAAGACACUGUCACAGUAAUAAAACCUAUUUUCGACAUGUGGAAAAAAAAUAUUUUGACUAAAAUUAAGAGAUUCAUCAAAUGGUAGCAAUAUAUUUUCCCAUUAGUUUGUCAGUUCAUUGGAAAUGAUGAUGUAGAAAUGAAUUUAAAAUUUUUAAAUGGAUUUGGCGCCAUAACGUAACAUAUUUGAAAAAUAUUAGUUACCCCAAGUCAAGCCCUGGGUCAAACCCCGAAAGCAAUAAACGCCACCGUUUCAAUCAUUUUUUUUUCAUUCUCCUUAAAACGACGUCGUUUUAGCUUGGUGAAGGCAAAAUCAACAACAGUCCCAAAUUGCUUUCUCUUUCUCUUCGUCUCACAGCCUUUCUCCUUCUAUUUCUCUGUAAAACCACCGCUUUCUCUUCUCCUUCGUUUCAACAACCAUCAUCAAUUUCAGAGUUGCUUUCACACAAAUGAAGUCAGAGAAGAAUAUAAUACGAAGGCGAACCACACUAGGAGCUGAUAAAGAAAAUAAUUUGAAUAACUUAUAAUCAAAGAUUUAGUGCUUAGAUUUCACUGACAUGCAUUUACUGUUGGGGAAAAAUACAGGUUUUUAAAUUUUUUAUAAAACCUUUUUAAGAUCGCUCUCAUAUAAUAUAUAAGAAUUUAUAAUCUAGAAAUCGUACCUUGAAAAUCCGAUUUAACUUUUUCCGCUGAAGUGAUUUAGGCUCCCAGAUCACGAUCCGUCACCACCACGCUUGUUAGAUCACGAACUGUCACCAAUGAUCUUUCAGGUUAUGACUCAGGUUUGAUCUACACUUGACGUGUGGGCGCCUUUAUCACUACCAAAGCAACUAGCAGGAGAAAAAUUUUCUCUCAACAAUGGAGAGAAAAAUCUUUUUCUCUAAUCUGUAUAAAGUGGCUCCUCACUUUUUCUUUAGAAAAAUAAGCCUUUUAUAUCUCCCUUUAGUGAAAACCCUAGGCUCCAAAUAAUCAAAAAUCAAAACUCACGUUACUUGUUUUUUCUAUAGGGUACCCACCUUGUAAAAUAACAUAAGGCCCCUUACACAAAAGCUAAUUAAAUGAAGCCUCCCACUAAAUGAUAUAUUUAGGCUUUUGACCCAAAUAGCUAGUUAUCUUACUUAUUAGUCCAGUAGUGAUGCAGUCAAUUAAAUGAGCUAACCCGGUGAUCAUUUGGGAGCAUACAAUAGUGGCUAUAACAAUUCAGCCUGUAAUUAAACUAGCCUAAUUAUUUAAUUCCAAAUCUACUCCACUAAAAGAUUGGAAUUGACCUCCAUAAUUGUAUGUUCGAAUAAUAAUUCGUCCCAAGCCACAUUGAUUUCUUUACUGCACAAUCCUUUGUACCACAUCGUUAAUUAAAUUGAUAUCUCAACUGUCCAAUCAAUUUAAUAACAUCUUAUUCCUUGAUACUUACUGGUUUUCUCUAAUGAUCAUUUUCAACAUACUAAAUAUGUUGACACACUCUGGCUAGAGAAUUCUAUAAUCAAGUACCGAAAACCCAUCAAGAGAUGUGUUGUAUAAAUUCUAUAUUGUUAAUCUAUAACUCCAAUACUUAUAAAUGCUCCCACCAAGAUACCGGGUAAUCUAGACUACAAGUAUGUGUCAUGCCCAUUGGUAACUCAAAUGGAAUAACAAUUACAAUCAUGAAAUCAUAAUUAACUCAAGAUUAAGAUUACAGUAAAAUCAAUGCCUAUGAUAUUUAAUAAGUCUGACAGUUAUUACAAAGUUAAUUAAAUCUCAUAUGUGAUCAUGUUCAAUGUAGUCGUACUACAUCAAUAAAUUCAUACAUGAUUAAGACAAAUCAUUCAAUGAAUUUAUUACAGUUUAUACCUAAAUAAAGUGUCCAACUUUAUUUAUCAACUGCGAACUAAAUUUAUUUAAUCAUAAGAUAACUAGUAUUUAUGUCUUCUGUGAAUCCACAUGGUGAUUACAUAAAUACAUAUAAUAUGAUUAAAUGGACUUUAAUAAAAAUAUUAAUGCAAUUAAGAUAUUUGAAUAAAAUACCUCAUUAAUUUUAUUAAUCAGAAAAAAUGUUUAUUACAAUUAAAUAAACACAUAUGCUUUUAAAGAGCAUAUUUUCCCAACAUUUACAACUUUCACCAGAAAAAGAUAAAACACAUACCCAAACAAUGUUUCCUAGUUGUGGAACUUCUUUUAAUUUUGCAUCACGAAAGAAACUAGGGCAAAAUGGAGGAACCAAUCACAGCCUACAUCCUUAAACUUGCAAACACGAGACAGGAAAAAUGGUGACUAUUUUUCAUUGAUGAUAUGCCUUUACAGGAACCAUUUGAUCUGCAACACAAGCCAAACCCUGCAUCAAUAUGACGAUUUCCACUGUAUCAUGCAGAUGAUACUUGGCUUUGCUGGGUUUUCGACCAACAGUACAUGCAUAAACUUCUGCCCCAAGAGCAAUGGAUGGACCUGCCUUGGAACUGAUGAUUAAUUCAAACAUAUCCUCAUCGGAUCGAUCAUCACCUACACACAGAGAAAUAGAAGGAGAAAGGGGCUGUGAGACCAAGGGAAAGAGAAAGCAAUUUGGGGCUGUUGUGAGAUGAAGAGAAAACGAAGAGAAAGAGAGUUGUGGCUGUUGUUGAUUUUGCCUCAACCAAGCUGAAACGAAGGGGAAAGAGGCUGUGAGACGAAGACAAAGAGAAACCAAUUUCGGCUGUAAUAAUUUUUCCAAAACGACAUCGUUUAAUUUGAAUGAGAAGUAAAAAAAAAGAGAUUGAAACGGCGUCGUUCGUUUAUUGCUUUCGGGGUUUGACCCGGGGCAAAUUGCAGAACUCAACAUAUUUUGAGGUCAGCAAUAGUAUCAUGAUGUAUAUUGGCAAAAGUAUAAUCCAAUAGUGCUGGUCGUGACAUCCCACGUGCCGAUGACAUGGUAGUCCAGUGGCAGUGCCUGUAUUCUUUUUCAAACUAUUAAUUGAAAAAAAUCAAUGAUACGAUUUUACCAAAAAAAAAAAUAAUAAUCAUCAUUAAUUAACGACAACAAACUAAUUGAUAGUAAACAAUGAAAGGGUAAAUUUAAAAGUUUUGAUUUAUGAUGGGUGUGGAAUUUGAGUUCUUAAUUCUUUGGAGAAGAAUCUAUAUCCUUAAAUUUGAUGGAAUUUAAAUUUUAAUGAAAAUUGAAAUCUACCAUUUUAUGGUCAAUGGAAAGGAUUGUUCCUCGGCCCCUCGACCCCUCCUCUACCAUCAACCAAACACCACCUAAAAGUUCAAGCUGAAGCCAAACCCGCCAAACAAUCUAAUAGUUUUGAGGUAGCCAAAUCAUUCACAUAAUCCUUAAGGUCGGGCAUCAAUGUUCUGAUACUUUUAUUUUAUUUUAUUUUAUUUAUUAUUAUUAUUAUUAUUUUGUAAUUGGCAGUUUGGGAUUGUUGCUGUGAUGAUGAAAAUGAUUUUGAGCAAUUAUCUAAGAGACGUGUUUUAAUUUGUAAGAAUCUGAUAAAUAAACUUAUAUGCUUUUAUUUAUUUGUUUUAUUAAAAAAACACACAUUAAUUGUACUAGAGCAAAUUAACACAACAAUACCAAAUGGGUCAAAAUCAUCUCCAAGUUGCGUUACGUGCCAAGAGUUUUCCAAAUUUGAGUCAAAAGACUUGCGAUUUCUUGGCAACUGACAAAUAUAGAAAACGGAUGGAUAAAAUUUUGUCCUCAAAUAAGGAAAUGUUCCUUCUAGCUUCUGAAACCUACAAUGGGCUUAUCUGAGAGACGUGUUUUAGUUUACAAGAAUUUGAUAAAUAAACUGUAAAUGCUUUUAUUUAUUUAUUUAUUUUAUAAAAAACACAUUAAUUAUAUCUGAGCAAAUUAACUCUCAGUGAUUCACAUUUCAUUUUAAAUUAAUUCAAGUAUAUGCAAGCAAAACAGAAUGUUGUUGAUAAUCAUUUUAAGAAAUGAAAUACUUAAGAAACAGCAGCAGUACAUUGGGAUUUGCCAAUCAAACCAGCUGAAACAGUAGAGAUCGCAUGGAUCAGUAGCGGUGGGGUUAGCUUUGAUCAAAUCAUAUCAAAAGAUUUAAAAUUUUGAGAUGACCUCGUUCUUGUGAACGGUAGCACUUGUGCACAAGCAACACGGCUACGUAUCAUAUCAUUGCAGCACUGCAGGGAAAGGCAAGGCGAGCAGUGCUAAACAUCGGGAACCCUGAGAGAACGCUGAGAGAAACGGCAGCUUGUGCUGCCGUUUCGUUCUCUCACCCCCCCACGUGAGUAAUAGAUACUUGUCCCCCAUGUGAAAAAGAAAAAGUACUCCCUUUCAAAUCAUUUUCCCUUCCUCCUUCUUCCACUUCAUUUCAACAGAACAGAUCCGUUCCAAGCUCGCACUCCUUCUUCCUUCUUCGCUUUCGACAGAACAGAUCCGUUCCAAGCUCGCACUCCUUCUUCCUUCUUGACAAGAGAAUUAUAUAUGUCUACAAUGCAAGUAUAGCAGAGAAACUCCAAUAAACACUCAUCAUGAUGCUUGACAAGAGAACUAUUCAACAACUAACAACUACAGGGCCUAAGCUCAACUUAAACAUAUACUUGCAUCAAAGCCAAGUCCACACUCCAUAUAUGCUUACAUAAAUCAUAUUUUCUCAAUUCUAACUGCAUUUAACUUAAUUUAUUUUGAUUUAUUUAUUCACUGAAAAUUUAUUUUGAUUGCAAAUUCUUCUAUCAUCCACUAAAAUGAUUUAAAUACUAGAUACAUAAACUGAUUCACUGAUUCACUGAUUCACUGAUUGGAUGAGCUAAAGUUAUGGUUUGUGAUGUGAAGGACAACGAAAGAGAAAUGAACCGAGUGAAGGAGCAACGCUGAGACUUUAGCUUAAGGAGAACUCAAAUGUAGCUUUGCUUAGUCAUGAGCAAGGAGAGAACAAAGACAUUCACGUGGGGGAAGACAUCACUUGGCAAAAGUGAUGGAACGUGGGGCCAAUGACAGCUUUUGGCAAAAGUAACUUAAAGUUAUAGUCUUUUUUCACGUGGGCAAGAGUUUUCUAAGUGGGGAGCUGAGAGAACACGAAACGACAGCACAAGCUGCCGUUUCUCUCAGCGUUCUCUCAGCAUUCCCGACGUUUAACAUUUCCCAAGGCAAAAAUCUAAAUUUUCUCGAGAUUUGAUGUUGUUUGUAUCAAAUCGUCCAGAAACUGAGGCAUCAUCCCAUGCGUCACUCUUUCUGCAAAAAGUGAGGGUAAAGAUUAUGAUUAGUCUGUAAUCUGUCUUACGUUCUUGUUCAGCUGAAACUUGGCCCCACAGCACUUCGCAAUUUAUCUUCAAAUUUGUGGUAUCCGCAGUUUCUCUAGAAUGUACGUUAGCCUGAAAAUGAAAUAAAAAAUUCUCAGAAAUUUUUAAGUUUCAUUAUUGAAUUUGAAGUGUCUAACAGUCUGAACUCAGCUCUCUUGUAUAAUAGCUUUGAUUGCUCAUCUCGAAACACUCCACCAACUCAACUCUUACUCCCCCUCUUGAUUUCAUUGUCUAGAUUAAUUAAUUAAUUGUUGGUUUAAAUGAAUCACAUACUCCAUUAGUGUACUCUACAACUGUCUAACUAUAAUAUCAAAUAGGACUUUAUUGAAUAAAUGGCAAAUUAGGCUAUAGUUACCUUACAUUAUUAUGUGAGGUACAUAAUUCUUUCACAUCCGUUUGAUGAAAAUUUAACGGUUGGGGAAAUAACAUAAUUUUAUUAUCUUAUAUUUCCACAACCGCCGUUUAAAUUUCAUCAAACGGUUGUAAAAAAGUUAUGUAACUUACAUAAUAAUAUAAGAUAACAAGAUCUGACAAAUUAUGGUUUGCAGGCGCGAUAUAAAUCUAUUGCCUGCAAUCAUAGUAUUUAUACAUAGGCUGUCUGCAUAAAAAAAAUUGUACUAUAAUUACUUGAAUAUAUUAAUAUAGCAUUUGAGAAUGAGAAGUUAUUUAUUUAAAAAAAAAUGUGAAUACAUUAGACAUGUGAAAGAAUAUUAUUUUUUAUAUAUGAAUUCUUCAAAAUAAAUCACGUGUAAUUGUAAACAUUGUCACCACAUAUAGGAGUGCAAAUUGAUCAUAGUGCAGCAGUUUAUGAUAGAUGUCGGAUGGCUAGUCAAUUUGUACGUCGCCGAAGAAUUUAGAAUUUUAAUGUCUUUUAAAACUUAAAGGGAAACUGAUUAGUGUUUUCAAUGAAUGAGAGGUCCUAAAAAUUUAUUCUAAUAUAUAUAUAUAUAUAUACACACACACACACCACAAAUUUACCAUAUUCUCACAAGCUCUUAUACCAUCCUUUGAUUCUUUUCGGCUAAGGAUAUGCGCUUCAUCACCACAUAUGCAACAAAUGGUCAUUCUUGCAACUAUAAAACCUACUAAAUACCUUUAAAAACCCACAUCUAUUAAUGCCGAAACACCCAAAAAAAAAAAAAAAUAUUGUCUUUCAAGCUCAUGGCCAAUACAAAGUCGUCAUGUCUCCCUCUAUACGAAAAAGUUUUUCAUAAAAACACAUAUCAUAGGGCUUUAGAUGUUAUCAUCUUGUUCCUUCUUCUAUGUCUGCUCUUCUAUCGGCUCUCAACGUUGAAGAAUCAUGGAUUUGCUUGGUUUCUUGCUUUUCUAUGUGAGUCUUGUUUUACUUUCAUCUGGAUUCUCAUCGUCAACUGCAAGUGGACUCCUUUGACCUACAAAACAUAUCCCAACGUCUCCAAGAAAGGUAACAAAUCAAAUAACGUUAGCAUUAAUAAUAUCCGCAUCAUUUGCAAUUGUAUUUGUCAUUUUGCAUGUUACUACAUACUUACACAUAUUUAUACACACACACACAUAUGUGUACGACUCAACAGGAUACAGGAGCUGCCCCCAGUGGACAUGUUUGUGACAACUGCUGAUGCUGAACUCGAGCCGCCAAUCAUCACUGUAAACACAGUGCUGUCUUUGUUGGCAGUUGAUUAUCCAGUUCACAAGCUCGCUUGCUAUGUUUCUGAUGAUGCCUGCUCACCUCUCAAUUUCUACUCUCUUGUUGAAGCUUCUAAAUUUGCUAAGCUUUGGGUUCCAUUCUGUAAAAAGUAUAAUGUUCAAAUUAGAUCUCCCUUUAGAUACUUCCCAGAUAGUGAGCCGUCCGAUUCCAGUUCAGGGGAACUCCUGCAAGACUGGAAAAACAUGAAGGUAAAGAUAUGUUAAAGUUACAUGUAUCUGUUCUAUACAUAAAAUAAAAAUCAUAUUUACACAACGUUUUAGAGCAGCGACAGAAACGACAAUAAAACUAUAUGGUAUUAACGUAUUUUUUAUUUUUUAUUAACAGUAAUUCCACAUGAUUUGAUCGUGUUUCUUUUUAUUAGUUUUUAAAUUUAAGAUAACUGCAUAUAGUUUUAAUCAUUGAUUAAUUAAGUGUUUAAAUCGAUUCUAUUUGUUUGAUCUUAUGUAGAAAGAGUAUGAGAAACUCUGCCAAAACAUAGAACAUGCAGCCAAAAGAUCUUCUUUAUUUGAUCUAACAGGAGAAAUGACUGUUUUCUCCAAUACAGAACGCAUGAAUCAUCCAACAAUAGUCAAGGUAACCGAUUGAUUUGUUUAUACAUUUAAUUGAAAAUUAGUGAGGAAUGUUUUCUUAAAACAUAUUUUUUUUAAAGUAAACGUACCUUUUUUUUCAGGGCGGGUAAAAGUAGUUUACUUUUUUCUUUGAGAAUAAUCAUUAAUCAUUCAAUUUAAUUGUAGGUUAUAUCGGAGAACAGAGGAGGUCUCUCAGAUGAGAUACCACAUUUAGUUUACAUAUCAAGAGAGAAAAGGCCAAAGCAUCCCCAUCACUACAAAGCAGGGGCCAUGAAUGUAUUGGUAAGUUGCUUUUUGGUGCCUUCAAAAUAGUUGUUCUUUUGUGCCAAAUAUGACAAGAAGAGUAUUUUUCACAUUAUUAAGAUCAAACGGUGAGAUUGCUUACAUUAUUGUAAUUGAUAGACUAUACUAACAUUUUUUUUUUUAAUUCUAAUUUCAUACAAUAAUUAAAUAGACUAGGGUGUCUGGGCUGAUGACAAAUGCGCCGUUCAUGCUUAAUGUAGACUGCGACAUGUAUGCCAACAAUCCAGAGAUUGUUCUUCAAGCUAUGUGUUUGCAUCUGGGCUCCAAGAACGAAAACGAAUUUGCGUUUAUUCAAUCUCCACAAUAUUUCUAUGACAGACCAGAAAAUCUGUGCAUUUUAAAUGAGGUGAGCCAUAUCUAUAUAUGCUAGCUCAAUAAUUCUUAUAACUUAAAAUUAACUAUGAAUUUCCUUGUUCAAUGAUAUGCCUAGCUAACCGGGUGAUGCUGAUUAACUAAUAUGUUUUGCUUUUGUUAGUAUAUCGGGAAAGGAAUUGUGGGAAUUCAAGGACCUUUCUAUCAGGGUACAGGAGCUUUUCAUAGACGAGAUGUUGUAUAUGGUCUAUGCCUCGAUCAGAUUGAACAUCAAGGUGAACACGCAUGUGUUAAAUGUUAAACAAAAUAUGUUCUUCUAUGACUAUGCUAAAUAAAUGUUUUGUCCGUAAUCUUGCAGGAAAUAUAGUGGAAGAUGAGCUGCUGAAAAAAUUCGGAAAUUCAAAAGAAUUCAUCAAAUCAGCUGCUCAGACUUUGGAAGGGAAGACAGGAGGUUAUUCAAGCAACAUAUCGAGAUCGCUUGAUGAAGCACACCGAGUUGCAGAUUGUGGUUAUGAGUAUGGUAGUAGCUGGGGUGAUGAGGUUAGUAUAAAGAAUAAAAUUUGCAAAAUUUUGUUAAACUUGUUUUUUAGUCAAAACCUGUACGUUCACCACAUAUAUUGUGGCCGUACGUAUAUUUGUGAUUUCAGGUGGGGUGCUUGUAUGGCGCCACAGCAGAAGAUAACUUAACUGGCUUGGUGAUCCAUUCAAAAGGCUGGAGAUCAGGCUACUGCUUGCCGAUCCCACAUGCCUUUCUUGGCUGUGCGUCGCCCAGCGGCCCUGCUGGGAUGAGACAACAGAAAAGGUGGGCCACGGGACUGCUUGAAAUCCUAUUCAGCAAACGUAACCCCAUAUUGGCUACUCUCAUCGCGAAGCUCCAAUUUCGACAAUGUUUGGCUUAUUUGUGGAUCCUUACUUGGGGCUUGCGCUCAAUUCCCGAGCUGUGCUACAUUGCCCUUCCAGCUUAUUGCAUCAUCACCAACUCCACUUUCCUGCCAAAGGUCAUACAAAUUCUUCUUGUUCUUUCCUAGUUAUAAUUGCCGCUCAAUAAUUAUUCAUCACUUGUCAUCACACGCAUGUCCUUAAUGUCAUUUAAAUGCCUUGCCUUUUUGUUCAUGGCAAAUGAUUAACCAAAAAAAUGAAAUGGCGACCAGUACAAUUCUCGGGUGUAUAUAUAACAACUGAAACCUAUCUUUUUUUUUUUCCAAAAUAAAAAGUAGAAGGAUGAGUAAAACCCAAAUUAAUUUUUUAAUUCCUACCUUCCCGAGAAUUGAUCUUGAGUAGAUAGUAACAGAAAACUAUUUGAGAAACCACUUGAGUGCCAAGUCAAAUCAACAUGUUAAUCAAACGACUUAUUACUUUUUGAACCGCUGAAAAUGUCAAUUGUACACGCAGGUCCAGGAACCAACCGUAUUGAUCCCUCUUGCACUUUUUGUGAUCUACAAAUCAUAUACUCUAUUAGAGUACAUUCAAGCUGGUUUAUCAAUCCGUUCAUGGUGGGUUAACAAUUGUAUGGCCCGAAUUGUCACAACAAGUGCAUGGUUAUUUGGUCUUGUAAACGCCGCGCUCAAGCAGUUUGGAUUCUCCGAGGCAGUUUUUGAAAUUACGCAAAAAAUUCAUCGAUCCAGCGAUGUCGAUGAAGUGAUGUUCGACGAUUCCCCUUUCUUUGUUCCCGGCACGACAAUUAUUCUGGUGCACCUCGCUGCAUGGGCUACCGGCUUGCUAAGGUUGCAAUCACAAGGUGCGCAUGGCUCAGGGCUAGGAGACUACUUUUGCAGUCUGUAUGUGGUGCUAUGCUUCUUUCCUUUUUUGCGAGGGCUGUUCAUGACAGGGAAAAAGGGGAUCCCGUGGUCAACCAUUUGCAAAUCAACUGCUUUAGCUCUGCUUUUUGUGCAAUGGUGUAAGAUGAUGAGCUCUGUGAACUGAGAUUUUUAUUUUAAGCGUGACAAAAUGAAUUAGUUUAGGAAGUAUCAAAUAUUUUCCAUUAAUUUGUGCUAUGAACUUAUCCAUAUGCCAAAUCCAAAUUCUUAGAGCAAAAUAGAAAUCCAUGAGUCAAGCAAAUUCAUCUCUCUAGACCACUCAAUAUAUGUUGUGCGCGGAAUGCGGAAUCAAGCGCACCAAAUAAUUAUAAAAAAAUAAAAGACACAAAUUUUACGUGGUUCGGUAAUUAAACCUACAUCCACGGAGGCAAGAAAGAAUAAUUGUUUAUUUAACAAUUAAUAAAGUAUAAAUAUUUGAGUAACGAAUCUCACUUCUCAGAAACCCAAAUAUACCCAGUACUCUCACACUCUGCAGGAAAGAUAAAUUCCUCAAACACACUUCUCUCACUUCUCUCAAAAGUUUAGAAACUUAUAAGCUUAAUAAUUUUGGGAUAAUUUCAAAUGAAUGAAAUCCUUAGCUAUUUAUAGGAGAAAUGAAUUACUAUGCAAAGAAUAAAAUAAUUAAAAAUAUAAUUUUUAACUAUUAUUAUUUUUCAAAUUCAUCCCCUUUAUCAAUUCUUUCUUUUCGGCUACAAAAUCAAUUUUGAUUUUGCUUCUCUACAAUUGUUGGUGCAUCCAACAAUUUGUUGACUUCAACAAAUCUCUACCUCAGCGAAAAUUUUUCAAAUCUGAGUCGACUACCAACGAGCUAUCAUCCCCAAAGUGGCUGCAUUUCUAUGAUUGCCUACGUACCCAAAAUUUAGGAUUAAGCCAACCGUAUUUCAAAUUCCCGAAGGACAUAUCUUAACACAAGCGAAGGAUUUGAAUUAGUUUCAAGCAAUGUUGAAACUUAACUUCAGAAACUACAUUCGUCAACAUAUCCGAUGGAUUAUCUUUGGUAUCGAUCUUUCUCAACAACACAACACCGCUCUUGAUAAUCUCUCUCACAUAAUGAUAUUUCACAUCUAUGUGUUUUGUCCGAGCGUGAUAUGUUUGAUUAUUCGCAAGGAAUAUCACACUUUGAUUAUCACAGAAGACCGCAAUUUUCUCUUGGAUUACUCCCAAAUCACCUAACAAGCCUUUCAACCAGAUAACUUCUUUUACAGCUUCAGUUGUUGCCAUAUACUCUGCUUCCGUAGUGGACAGAGCAAUUGUCGAUUGCAAAAUCGACCUCCAGCUAACCGGACCUCCACCCAAUGGGAAUACAUAGUCCGUUGUUGAUCUUCGCUUGUCAAGGUCUCCAGCGAAAUCAGAAUCACAAUACCCAACACAUUGUUGACCACAAUACUUCUUGAACAAUAUCCCAACAUCAACUGUUCCAUACAGAUAUCGGAGAAUCCACUUUACCGCAAGCCAUUGAUUUUUACCCGAAUUGUGCAUGUAUCACUAACCAUGCUCACUGCUUGAGAUAUAUCGGGCCUUGUGCAUACCAUAGCAUACAUAAGACUACCCACAACACUAACAUAUGAAGCACGAGCCAUGUAAUCACGCUCCUCUUGAGAUCUAGGACAUGAAGAAGAGCUUAAUUUGAAAUGAGGAGCUAGAGGUGCACAUACCGGUUUUGUUUUGUCAUCCAUACGCUCCCAUUCUUCUUGUCUCUAUGAAUCUCCAUCCCAAGUAUUCUCUGUACAUCACCCAUGUCUUUCAUCUCGAACUCAGAAGCCAGCUGCUUAUUUAAUCUUUCGAUCUCAUUUCUAUUCUUCGAAACUAUAAGCAUAUCAUCGACAUAGAGUAACAAAUAAAUGAAAGCUCCAUCUAGUAGUCUUCUAAAGUAAAUACAAUGAUCGUGUUCACUUCUGGUGAAUUUCUGCCCUUGUAUAAAUUGAUCAAAUCUUUUGUACCAUUGCCUUGGCGACUGCUUCAGUCCGUACAAAGAUUUAAUCAACCUACACACAUGAUUCUCCUUUCCAGCAACUUUGAAACCACAAGGCUGAAUCAUAUAGAUUUCUUCAUUCAAAUCUCCAUGUAAGAACGCCGUCUUAACAUCCAAUUGAGCCAACUUUAACUCAUAUUCUGCAACUAAGGCAAGUAGGAUACAAAUGGUAGUAUGUUUUACAACUGGAGAGAAAACUUCAUUGUAGUCAAUACCUUCCUUUUGAGCAAAACCUUUUGCCACGAGCCUUGCCUUGUAUCGAGGAGUUGUUUGAUUCGGAGAUCCUUGCUUUUUGGUGUAGACCCAUUUAUUGCCAAUAGCCCUUUUCUCCUUUGAUAACUUUACAAGUUCCCAAGUCUGAUUUUGAUGGAGAGAUUUUAUCUAUUCCUCUAUGGCUAACUUCCACUGAUCACUUUCACUGCUGCGUAAUGCUUCACCGAAAGUGUUAUGGAUGUUAUUAUCAAUAACUGGAAGUGCAUAGGCUACCACCAUAUCUUUAAUAAGCCAUCCGAGUUUCUUUAUCUCUCUUCUUGGCCUCCUUGUUUCUAUAAAAUCAUAAUUAUCUACAUCAUCAAUUGUUUCUUCAUUUUGUGGGACAUCAGAAGAAACAACCUCUUCUUCAACUCUAGGUGUCACUUCCAUAGUUGAACCAUUCUUUAAUGUAGAACUAACUAGUACAUAUGGAGUUGCAUCAAACUCCACCUGCUGCAAUACCUCUUUGGUCUUGUUCUCCACCUGCUGAGAGCUUGAAGUUUUCAUCAUUGAAACUUCAUCAAAUGUGACAUCUCUGCUACACACAAAUUUUUUGUCUUCGAGAUCCCAAAGCUUGAAGCCCUUUACUCCACCUUUGAAUCCCAUAAAGAUAGCUUUUCUAGCACGAGGAUCCAGUUUACCAUCUUUGACAUGAUAAUAAGCUGGACACCCAAAUAUAUGAAGGGAAUCAUAGUCUUGUGCAUGCUUUCCAGACCACAUUUCCAUAGGAGUUUUACCUCCAAUUGCAGCAAAAGGCAACCGGUUUACCAAGUGACUUGCGUAGCUCACAGUUUUAGCCCAAAAUUUUUUAUCUAAACCAGCAUUAGAUAACAUACACCGUACCUUCUCCAGUAAAGUACGAUUCAUACGCUUAGCCACACCGUUCUGUUGCGGAGUAUGUCUCACCGUGAAAUGUCUUUUAAUACCCUCGUUCUGGCAUACUUGCAAGAAUGGAUCAGAAGUAUAUUCACCCCCAUUAUUAGAUCGUAAUACUUUAAUCUUUCUACCAGUUUGAGUCUCCACCAAUUUCUUCCAUUUCACGAAAAUCUCUAGAACUUCAUCCUUUACUCGCAUAGUGUAUACCCACACACGUCUAGAGAAAUCAUCAACAAAUGUAAUAAAAUAAUGGCUUCCACCAAUUGAUGCAGUCUUGGUUGGUCCCCAUACAUCAAUGUGAACAUAUUCAAGGAUCUCACGAGUAUCGUGAUUAGCUGUACCAAACUUGACCCUUAUUUUCUUGCCUACUACAGAAUGCUCACAAAAAUUUAUUUUACAGGUUUUGGUACCUUUUAAGAGUCCGUGCCUCAUAAGAGUUUGUAAAGACUUCUCGCCAGCAUGUCCCAGUCGUACAUGCCAUAGCUUGGUGGUGUCAUUGUGUGCCUCAACAACAUUUGCUUCAUCAGUUAUACCUCCCUUCAAAUAGUACAGAUUGUGACGUCGAACCCCUUGCAGAAUCACCAUAGCCCCAUGUGUAAACUUCAUUAUACCAUCUUCAAUGGUAACCUUGUAGCCUUUAGCUUCCAAAGCACCCAUAUAAAUUAGAUUUUUCUUUAAAGAUGGAACAAAUCUAACAUCUUUGAGUUCUCUGACCAUUCCAUCAAACAUUUUGAGUCGAAUUGUUCCUAUCCCCAUUGUGCGACAAGGUUGAUCAUUCCCCAUCACAACUGCAUCGGAUUCCAGAUUACGAAAAUCCGUAAACCAUUCCUUAAUAGGACACAAAUGAUAGGUUUCUCCAGUAUCAAGUAUCCACUCGCUCGAACUAGCCACGUAUGCUGCAAGAGUAAUACUUAGUGAAUAAUCAGAGUUUUCAUCUUUCCGUGCCAUGUUUGCUGCUGCUGGUUUCUUCCCAUCUCUCUUUUGAGCCUUUGGACAAUCUUUCCUCCAAUAGCCAUUUUCAUGACAAAAGGCACACUUGUCUCGAGCUAUAUUUCUACUUCUCGAUUUGGAUCGAGAAUUCUUUCCACCACGCUUCUUCUAUUUCUCCAUCGCCCAAUCUCUGCUCACCAAAGCUUCAGACUAUGCUCGUUCAGAAUUUUUAUUAUUAUUCCGAAUCUCCAAGUUAGUCAAUGCUGUGCAAACAUAUUUGAAAAUGAUCACGCUUUUCCCAUAUAUCAAGGUAGUCACAAAAUGACUAUAUUCCUCUGGUAGUGGGUGUAACAGAAUCAUAGCCUUGACUUCAUCCUUAAUAUCUUCAUCAAGAUUCUUCAAAUCAGCAAGUAACUUUUCAAAUCUUGAGACAUAAUCGUGCAUUGACACCCCAGACUUCAUUCGAAAGCCAUAUACUUGGCUCAUUGCAUGAAAGCGAUUUUUAGGACUUUUUAGCAAGUACUUUUUCUCCAAUGUACGCCACAAAGUCAUUGCACACUCCUCAUCCUUCACAAAGUAUUUCACCUCCUUGGUCAAACCAGAUCUGAUCUGACCACAUGCUUUUUCAUUCAUACAAUCCCAAAUUUCUUCAUCAUACAAGUGUCUUUUAUUUUUCAGAACAACAUCGAGAUCGAUUUGAAUAAGGGCAUCCAUAACUUCGCGCCUCCACAUGCCGAAAUUGAUUUUCCCAUCAAACUUUUCAACAUCAAUCUUCUGGCCUCCUAUAACAGGUGCUAAAUAGCGAUUUGACAAAUCUCGCCUCCCACCUAAAGUGUCUCCUGAAAUAGUCUCGGUAGAUCUCUCCCCAAUUCUGGAAGUUUCACCUUCUACCAUUUUCUCAACGAACUAUUUUCACUUGAAAAACAAUCUCUAUGAUGUUAAUUUUGCAUGAAUAAAUGCACCAGAAAAGUUCCCAGGAGACUGGACGGGAACUCGGUCCCAAUUAAAAACCAGAAUCCUUAGACUCUUAUCGCCUUUGUUGACAGAACUUUCCUAGACAUGUAAAAAUACACACUACUUAUAAUAGACUGUCUCCCAAGUACAAAUGGUCGUCUCCACCGUAUUCGUGAACAGUACCGUAUGUGAACAAUACCGUAUACGGGAAUAGUACUGUAUACAUAAACAGUACCGUAUCCCCCCAAGUACAAACCGUCGGCUCUGAUACCACUUGUUGUGCGCGAAAUGCGGAAUCAGGCGCACCAAAUAAUUAUAGAAAAAUAAAGGACACAAAAUUUACGUGGUUCGGUAAUUAAACCUACAUCCACGGAGGAAAGAAAGAAUAAUUGUUUAUUUAACAAUUAAUAGAGUACAAAUAUUUGAGUAACGAAUCUCACUUCCCAGAAACCCAAAUAUACCCAGUACUCUCACACUCUGCAGGAAAGAUAAAUUCCCCAGACACACUUCUCUCACUUCUCUCAAAAGCUUAGAAACUUAUAAGCUUAACAAUUUUGGGAUAAUUUCAAAUGAAUGAAAUCUUUAGCUAUUUAUAGGAGAAAUGAAUUACUAUGCAAAGAAUAAAAUAAUUAAAAAUAUAAUUUUUAACUAUUAUUAUUUUUCAAAUUCAUCCCCUUUGUCAAUUCUUUCUUUUCGGCUACAAAAUCAAUUUUGAUUUUGCUUCUCUACAAUUGUUGGUGCAACCAACAAUUUGUUGACUUCAACAAUAUAUACAACUACAAGUGCUGAAAAGCUCUCUAGUAACUUCGUAAAGACAACUUAAUUUCUUUCUUAAGCUACCAAUCCAAUUUCAAUCCUCGUGGUAGAAAUGAAUAGAGAUGAGAGAAAGUAGAAAAAGAGAAGAAAGGAGCAGAAAGGACAGAAAAUGAAAGGAGAAUUCAAUUUACAUUACUUGGUUUAUUAUGAAAUUCCAGACAAAAAAGAAUUUAUUAAAUUUUUUAUCUGAAUACAUUUAAUUAAUUUUAAACUUCUAAUAUUUUUUUAUCAAUUUCAAUAUUUGACUAUAUAAAUUUGUUUUAGUUUAUUUUUAAAUAAAUCAUCGUUUAACACAAAAUAAAUUAUUAAUAAUUUUGUAUUUCUUUAUUACGAAAUUUUCAUUUAAAAUAAAUUAGUAAAAGUACAUGCCGAAGAAGACAUUGUCGCAGUAAUAAAACCUAUUUUCGACAUGUGGAAAAAAAAUAUUUUAACUAAAAUUAAGAGAUUCAUCAAAUGGUAGCAAUAUAUUUUCCCAUUAGUUUGUCAGUUCAUUGGAAAUGAUGAUCUAGAAAUGAAUUUAAAAUUUUUAAAUGGAUUUGGCGCCACAACGUAACAUAUUUGAAAAAUAUUAGUUACCCCGAGUCAAGCCCUGGGUCAAACCCCGAAAGCAAUAAACGCCACCGUUUCAAUCAUUUUUUUUUUUCAUUCUCCUUAAAACGACGUCGUUUUAGCUUGGUGAAGGCAAAAUCAACAACAGCCCCAAAUUGCUUUCUCUUUCUCUUCGUCUCACAGCCUUUCUCCUUCUAUUUCUCUGUAAAACCACCGCUUUCUCUUCUCCUUCGUUUCAACAACCAUCAUCAAUUUCAGAGUUACAUACUAAAUAUGUUGACACACUCUGGCUAGAGAAUUCUAUAAUCAAGUACCGAAAACCCAUCAAGAGAUGUGUUGUAUAAAUUCUAUAUUGUUAAUCUAUAACUCCAAUACUUAUAAAUGCUCCCACCAAGAUACCGGGUAAUCUAGACUACAAGUAUGUGUCAUGCCCAUUGGUAACUCAAAUGGAAUAACAAUUACAAUCAUGAAAUCAUAAUUAACUCAAGAUUAAGAUUACAGUAAAAUCAAUGCCUAUGAUAUUUAAUAAGUCUGACAGUUAUUACAAAGUUAAUUAAAUCUAAUAUGUGAUCAUGUUCAAUGUAGUCGUACUACAUCAAUAAAUUCAUACAUGAUUAAGACAAAUCAUUCAAUGAAUUUAUUACAGUCUAUACCUAAAUAAAGUGUCCAACUUUAUUUAUCAACUGCGAACUAAAUUUAUUUAAUCAUAAGAUAACUUGUAUUUAUGUCUUCUGUGAAUCCACAUGGUGAUUACAUAAAUACAUAUAAUAUGAUUAAAUGGACUUUAAUAAAAAUAUUAAUGCAAUUAAGAUAUUUGAAUAAAAUACCUCAUUAAUUUUAUUAAUCAGAAAAAAUGUUUAUUACAAUUAAAUAAACACAUAUGCUUUUAAAGAGCAUAUUUUCCCAACAUUUACAACUUUCACUAGAAAAAGAUAAAACACAUAUCCAAACAAUGUUUCCUAGAUGUGGAACUUUUUUUAAUUUUGCAUCACGAAAGAAACUAGGGCAAAAUGGAGGAACCAAUCACAGCCUACAUCCUUAAACUUGCAAACACGAGACAGGAAAAAUGGUGACUAUUUUUCAUUGAUGAUAUGCCUUUACAGGAACCAUUUGAUCUGCAAUACAAGCCAAACCCUGCAUCAAUAUGACGAUUUCCACUGUAUCAUGCAGAUGAUACUUGGCUUUGCUGGGUUUUUGACCAACAGUACAUGCAAAAACUUCUGCCCCAAGAGCAAUGGAUGGACCUGCCUUGGAACUGAUGAUUAAUUCAAACAUAUCCUCAUCGGAUCGGUCAUCACCUACACACAGAGAAAUAGAAGGAGAAAGGGGCUGUGAGACCAAGGGAAAGAGAAAGCAAUUUGGGACUGUUGUGAGAUGAAGAGAAAACGAAGAGAAAGAGAGUUGUGGUUGUUGUUGAUUUUGCCUCAGCCAAGCUAAAACGAAGGGGAAAGAGGCUGUGAGACGAAGAUAAAGAGAAACCAAUUUCGGCUGUAACAAUUUUUCCAAAACGACAUCGUUUAAUUUGAAUGAGAAGUAAAAAAAAAAGAGAUUGAAACGGCGUCGUUCGUUUAUUGCUUUUGGGGUUUGACCCGGGGCAAAUAGCAGAACUCAACAUAUUUUGAGGUCAACAAUAGUAUCAUGAUGUAUAUUGGCAAAAGUAUAAUCCAAUAGUGCUGGUCGUGACAUUCCACGUGCCGAUGACAUGGUAGUCCAGUGGCAAUGCCUGUAUUCUUUUUCAAACUAUUAAUUGAAAAAAAUCAAUGAUACGAUUUUACCAAAAAAAUAAUAAUAAUCAUCAUUAAUUAACGACAACAAACUAAUUGAUAGUAAACAAUGAAAGGGUAAAUUUAAAAGUUUUGAUUUAUGAUGGGUGUGGAAUUUGAGUUCUUAAUUCUUUGGAGAAGAAUCUAUAUCCUUAAAUUUGAUGGAAUUUAAAUUUUAAUGAAAAUUGAAAUCUACCAUUUUAUGGUCAAUGGAAAGGAUUGUUCCUCUGCCCCUCGACCCCUCCUCUACCAUCAACCAAACACCACCUAAAAGUUCAAACUGAAGCCAAACCCGCCAAACAAUCUAAUAAUUUUUGAGGUAGCCAAAUCAUUCACAUAAUCCUUAAGGUCGGGCAUCAAUGUUCUGAUACUUUUAUUUUAUUUUAUUUUAUUUUUUAUUAUUAUUAUUAUUUUGUAAUUGGCAGUUUGGGAUUGUUGCUGUGAUGAUGAAAAUGAUUUUGAGCAAUUAUCUGAGAGACGUGUUUUAAUUUGUAAGAAUCUGAUAAAUAAACUUAUAUACUUUUAUUUAUUUAUUUUAUUAAAAAAACACACAUUAAUUGUACUAGAGCAAAUUAACACAACAAUACCAAAUAUGUCAAAAUGAUCUCCAAGUUGCGUUACGUGCCAAGAGUUUUCCAAAUUUGAGUCAAAAGACUUGCGAUUUCUUGGCAACUGACAAAUAUAGAAAACGGAUGGAUAAAAUUUUGUCAUCAAAUAAGGAAAUGUUCCUUCUAGCUUCGGAAACCUACAAUGGGCUUAUCUGAGAGACGUGUUUUAGUUUACAAGAAUUUGAUAAAUAAACUGUAAAUGCUUUUAUUUAUUUAUUUAUUUUAUAAAAAACACAUUAAUUAUAUCUGAGCAAAUUAACUCUCAGUGAUUCACAUUUCAUUUUAAAUUAAUUCAAGUAUAUGCAAGCAAAACAGAUUGUUGUUGAUAAUCAUUUUAAGAAAUGAAAUACUUAAGAAACAGCAGCAGUACAUUGGGAUUUGCCAAUCAAACCAGCUGAAACAGUAGAGAUCGCAUGGAUCAGUAGCGGUGGGGUUAGCUUUGAUCAAAUCAUAUCAAAAGAUUUAAAAUUUUGAGAUGACCUCGUUCUUGUGAACGGUAGCACUUGUGCACAAGCAACACGGCUACGUAUCAUAUCAUUGCAGCACUGCAGGGAAAGGCAAAAGAGCAGUGCUAAACAUCGGGAACCCUGAGAGAACGCUGAGAGAAACGGCAGCUUGUGCUGCCGUUUCGUUCUCUCACCCCCCCACGUGAGUAAUAGAUACUUGUCCCCCAUGUGAAAAAGAAAAAGUACUCCCUUUCAAAUCAUUUUCCCUUCCUCCUUCUUCCUUCUUCCUUCUUCGCUUUCGACAGAACAGAUCCGUUCCAAGCUCGCACUCCUUCUUCCUUCUUGACAAGAGAAUUAUAUAUGUCUACAAUGCAAGUAUAGCAGAGAAACUCCAAUAAACACUCAUCAUGAUGCUUGACAAGAGAACUAUUCAACAACUAACAACUACAGGGCCUAAGCUCAACUUAAACAUAUACUUGCAUCAAAGCCAAGUCCACACUCCAUAUAUGCUUACAUAAAUCAUAUUUUCUCAAUUCUAACUGCAUUUAACUUAAUUUAUUUUGAUUUAUUUAUUCACUGAAAAUUUAUUUUGAUUGCAAAUUCUUCUAUCAUCCACUAAAAUGAUUUAAAUACUAGAUACAUAAACUGAUUCACUGAUUCACUGAUUGGAUGAGCUGAAGUUAUGGUUUGUGAUGUGAAGGACAACGAAAGAGAAAUGAACCGAGUGAAGGAGCAACGCUGAGACUUUAGCUUAAGGAGAACUCAAAUGUAGCUUUGCUUAGUCAUGAGCAAGGAGAGAACAAAGACAUUCACGUGGGGGAAGACAUCACUUGGCAAAAGUGAUGGAACGUGGGGCCAAUGACAGCUUUUGGCAAAAGUAACUUAAAGUUAAAGUCUUUUUUCACGUGGGCAAGAGUUUUCUCAGUGGGGAGCUGAGAGAACACGAAACGACAGCACAAGCUGCCGUUUCUCUCAGCGUUCUCUCAGCAUUCCCGACGUUUAGCAUUUCUCAAAGGCAAAAAUCUAAAUUUUCUCGAGAUUUGAUGUUGUUUGUAUCAAAUCGUCCAGAAACUGAGGCAUCAUCCCAUGCGUCACUCUUUCUGCCAAAAGUGAGGGUAAAGAUAAUGAUUAAUCUGUAAGCUGUUUUACGUUCUUGUUCAGCUGAAACUUGGCCCUACAGCACUUUGUAAUUUAGCUUCAAAUUUGCUUGUGGUAUCCGCAGUUUCCCCAGAAUGUACGUUAGCCUGAAAAUGGAAAAAAAAAAAUCUCGGAAAUUUGUAAGUUUCAUUAUUGAAGUGUCUAACUGUCUGAACUCCGCUGUCUUAUAUAAUAGCUUUGAUUACUCAUCUCGAAACACUCCAACUCAACUCUUACUCCCCCUAUAUUGAUUUCGUUGUCUAGAUUAAUCAAUUAAUUAAUUGUUGGUUUAAAUGAAUCACUACUCCAUUAAUGUACUUUAUAAAAAUCAACUUAAUUUUCAAAUUACAGCAACAUAUGUUUAUUAAAUAUUUUGAUGUUUAAAUUUUCAAAUUACAACAGUUCAAUUAUAAUAUCAAAUAAGACUUUACUGAUGUUGUGUUUACUUGCUGGAGUGGGAGUGAGGAGUGUGGAUUCCUCCCACUCCAGCGUUUACUUACUUAAAAUGGGGAGGGAUUGGGAGUCCCACUCCGUGGGCCACACCCAUUUUUGGAGUAGGGAGUGGGAGUGGGACUCCCAUUGGGGGAGGUGGGAGUGGGAAUCCACUCCCACCUCUCCCAUUUCUACCCUUUUUUUUAUUUUAUGUUUUGUAAUUAAUAAAAUAAAAUAAAUAAUAUUAUUAUAUUUAUUUUAAUAAUAAUAUUAUAUUUAACUAAAUAAUAAUUUACAUUGAUUCUAAGUUAAAAUUAUUUUAAAAUAAUAUUAUUAUAUUAAUAGAGAAUUAAUAAAUAUAAUAUUAUUAUAUUUAUUUUAAAAAUAAUAGUACUAUAUUUAUUUAAUAAUAAUAAUAAAUACUUUAUUCUAAGAAAAUAUUAAUUUUGUACUAAAUAAUAUUAUAUUAUUAUUUUAUAUAAUUAUAAAUUUAAUAUAAUUAUAUUAAAUAAAAUAAAAUAACAUUUCAUUUUAUAUUAAAAUUACAAUUAAUAAUUUAUUGUUCAUAAUUAAGAAUAUUAAUAAUUAUAAUAAAUUUACAAAUAUAAUAAAAUAAAUAUUAUUCAUUAAAUAUAUUUUUUAUUAGUUUUGUAAUUUAAAAUUAUAAUUCUUUAAAUAAGGAUAAAAUUAUAAUUUAAAAUUAUUUACUCCCAAUCCAAGACAAAGUAAACACAUAAAUUGGAUUCUGAUCUCCAUUCCAUGCUUCAAUUCCAGUGUAAGUAAACAACCUACUCUCACUCCCACUCCACACUCCCAAUCCUAGGAUUCCCACUCCCCAGGAUUCCCAAUCCAAUCCAAAAAGUAAACUCUACCUGAAUAAGUGGUAAUUAUAGUUUGCAGGCACGGUACAAAACCAUUGCCUACAAUUAUAGAAUUGCACUUAGGCUGUCUAAGCAAAAAAAUUUACACUAUAAUUACUUGAAUAUAUUAAUAUAGCAUUUGAGAAUGAGAAGUUAUUUAUUAAAAAAAAAAAAUGUUAAUACAUUAGACAUGUGAAAGAAUAUUAUUUUUUACGUAUGAAUUCUUCAAAAUAAAUCACGUGUAAUUGUAAACAUUGUCCCCACAUAUAAAAGAGUGCAAAUUGAUCAUAGUGCAGCAGUUUAUGAUAGACGUCGGAUGGCUACUUAAUUUGUACGUCGACGAAGAAUUUUGAAUAUCAAAAGGGUUUUAAUGUCUUUUAAAAGUUGAAGGGAAACUGAUGUUUUCAAUGAAUGAGAGGUCCUAAAAAUUUAUUCAAUUUAUUCUGAAAUAUAUAUAUAUAUAAAUACCACAAAUUUAGCAUAUUCUCACAGGCUCUUAUGCCAUCCUCUGAUUCUUUCCGGCUAAGGAUAUGCAACAAAUGGUCAUUCUUGCAACUAUAAAACCUAGUAAAUACCUUUAAAAGGGAGCCUCUAUGUUACAAUUAAUGUAACAUACACACUCAACAACAACCACACAAAUAAUGGGCCCACAUAAUUUGUGUGGUUGUUGUUGAGUGUGUAUGUUACAUUAAUUGUAACAUAGCAUUUGCCCCUUUAAAAACCCACAUCUAUUGAUGCCGAAACACCAAAAAAAAAAAAAAAAAAAAAAAGAAUACUUGUCUUUCAAGCUCAUGGCCAAUACAAAGUCGUCAUGUCUCCCUCUAUACGAAAAAGUUUUUCAUAAAAACACAUAUCAUAGAGCUUUAGAUGUUAUCAUCUUGUUCCUUCUUCUAUGUCUGCUCUUCUAUCGGCUCUCAACGUUGAAGAAUCAUGGAUUUGCUUGGUUUCUUGCUUUUCUAUGCGAGACUUGUUUCACCUUCCUCUGGGUUCUCGUCGUUAGCUGCAGAUGGACUCCUUUGACAUAUAAAACAUUUCCACAACGCCUCCAAGAACGGUAACAAACUAAACGAUUUACAUUAGCAUUAAUUAAUCUAGUAAUGAUUUUGUGUCUUUGUUAUUAUAUAUGGAAGGUACCAUGCUCCAUAGAUAUACUUAAUUAAUUAUGUGUGCAACUCAACAGGGUGCAAGAGCUGCCCCCAGUGGACAUGUUCGUGACAACCGCAGAUGUUGAGCUAGAGCCGCCAAUCAUGACAGUAAACACAGUGCUCUCUUUGUUGGCAGUUGAUUAUCCAGCUCACAAGCUCGCUUGUUAUGUAUCUGAUGAUGCCUGCUCACCUCUCAUCUUUUACUCUCUUGUCGAAGCAUCAAAGUUCGCUAAGCUUUGGGUUCCAUUUUGUAAGAAGUACAAUGUUCAAGUUAGAGCUCCCUUCAGGUACUUCUUGGGUGAGUCUGCAAAACCGCCGAGUACCAGUUCACGGGAGUUCCAGCAAGACUGGAAAAUGAUGAAGGUAAAACGUUAGUUAGAAGUCAGAUGCACAUAGCUGGAUAGUCUUUAUUUUAUUUCAUUUUAUUGAUGUUAGAAAAGACGUGGUGUGCCACAGGCACAAGAAACAACAAAGUAGCAUUGUUUGUGGGACAUAUCUAGCUUUUAAGUGUGUAACUUGAUUUUAGGUGUUAAUUUAAUCUUGUUAUGUAGGAAGAGUAUGAGCAACUUAACAGAAACAUUGAACAAGCAGCCAAGAAGUCGUUUUUAUUUGAUAUGACAGGGGAAAUGGCUGUUUUCUCCGAUACAGAACGCAGGGAUCAUCCGGCAAUAGUCAAGGUAACGGCCGAUUGAUUUGUUU
rnacentral:lncRNA from 1 species